AACGCGAAGAACCUUACCUGGUCUUGACAUCCACGGAAGUUUUCAGAGAUGAGAAUGUGCCUUCGGGAACCGUGAGACAGGUGCUGCAUGGCUGUCGUCAGCUCGUGUUGUGAAAUGUUGGGUUAAGUCCCGCAACGAGCGCAACCCUUAUCCUUUGUUGCCAGCGGUCCGGCCGGGAACUCAAAGGAGACUGCCAGUGAUAAACUGGAGGAAGGUGGGGAUGACGUCAAGUCAUCAAGGCCCUUACGACCAGGGCUACACACGUGCUACAAUGGCGCAUACAAAGAGAAGCGACCUCGCGAGAGCAAGCGGACCUCAUAAAGUGCGUCGUAGUCCGGAUUGGAGUCUGCAACUCGACUCCAUGAAGUCGGAAUCGCUAGUAAUCGUGGAUCAGAAUGCCACGGUGAAUACGUUCCCGGGUCUUGUACACACGC
rnacentral:rRNA from 1 species